rnacentral:rRNA from 1 species
AGUGAACGCUGGCGGCGUGCUUAACACAUGCAAGUCGAACGAGAACGGAAUAUAGCUUGCUAUAUUUGUCAGCUAAGUGGCGCACGGGUGAGUAAUGUAUAGAUAACCUGCCCUUAAGAAAGGAAUAACAGUUGGAAACGACUGCUAAUGCCCUAUAUGCCUUUAAUACAUAAGUAUGCAAGGGAAACGCUUUAGUGCUUAAGGAUGGGUCUGUAUGGUAUCAGCUUGUUGGUGAGGUAAUGGCUCACCAAGGCUAUGACGCCUAACUGGUUUGAGAGGAUGAACAGUCACACUGGAACUGAGACACGGUCCAGACUCCUACGGGAGGCAGCAGUGGGGAAUAUUGCACAAUGGACGAAAGUCUGAUGCAGCAACGCCGCGUGGAAGAUGACACAUUUCGGUGCGUAAACUCCUUUUAUAUAGGAAGAUAAUGACGAUACUAUAUGAAUAAGCACCGGCUAACUCCGUGCCAGCCGCCGCCGCAG